rnacentral:rRNA from 1 species
UCAAUAAGCGGAGGAAAAGAAACUAACAAGGAUUCCCCUAGUAACGGCGAGCGAACCGGGAAGAGCUCAAAUUUGAAAUCUGGCGUCCCCACGGGCGUCCGAGUUGUAAUCUGCAGAGGCGUCUUCCGCCCCGGACCGCGUCCAAAUCCCUUGGAACAGGGUAUCAAAGAGGGUGACAAUCCCGUGCUUGACGCGACCCCCGGUGCUAUGUGAUGCGACCUCAAAGAGUCGAGUUGUUUGGGAAUGCAGCUCAAAACGGGUGGUAAAUUCCAUCUAAGGCUAAAUAUUGGCGAGAGACCGAUUGCGAACAAGUACCGUGAGGGAAAGAUGAAAAGCACUUUGGAAAGAGAGUUAAACAGUACGUGAAAUUGUUGGAAGGGAAACGAUUGAAGUCAGUCGUGUCCGAGGGGUUCAGCCGGUCCUGCCGGUGCACUCCCCUCGGACGGGUCAACAUCGGUUCUGUCCGGCGGACAAGGGCAGGGGGAACGUGGCACCCUCGUGGUGUGUUAUAGCCCCCCGUCGCAUACGUCGGUCGGGACCGAGGAUCGCAGCUCGCCCUCACGGGCCGGGGUUCGCCCACGUCCGAGCUUAGGAUGUUGACGUAAUGGCUUUAAACGACCCGUCUUGAAACACG